GGGGGGUAGUAGUCGCGCGCUCUGUGUUCGCUGGUCGUGCACGGUAAAAGAAAAACGCCUGGUGACGCGUAGAUUAGAAAACAAGUCAGUUCUCAAUGUGAAAAAAAACAUGCUGUAAAGGAUAUUUAUGAUGACAUAGUGAGAGGACAGCCAAUGAUGCAGAGAGCACAGGGAGAGGAGAAACACCAGGUCCAAUAGAGAGAAGAGAAGCACAGCGCGUUCUGGGGUUCAUGGCUCCUCUGUGCAAGGCAGGACCUGACGUGGAGGACAAGGAGGCCCUCUGGGCACUACUGUAAAAAGGAGACUCCACACAGAUCCAGACCUUCCUGAAAAGCAGGCAGGAUUCGAUGGAGCUCGACACUUUAAUUACCGAGCGGAAACCCCUGUUUAGCAUAACUGAGUAAUGAUAUUGACCAUGCUAAGAUAAUUAUUCCGAAACUAUAGUAGCAGUACAGGCAUAUUGUUUAUAAUUAUACAGCGCAACCAGCAUCUUACAUGUUAUGUACUUGCUUUCACUUUUUCAAUUAAUCCAAGCACUUUUUCUUGGAGAAUGUUCUAGGGUUCAAUUACAUGGGGGGAGCACCCCUAGUGGUGGAAAUUCUAAUAUGUGUAAUAAUGUUUAGUGUUAGAAUUGUAGUUUGUGUGUUAUUAGAUAUUAGUUAUUACAUUAG
ensembl:lncRNA